rnacentral:rRNA from 1 species
AUUGAACGCUAGCGGGAUGCCUUACACAUGCAAGUCGAACGGAGUGGCGAACGGGUGAGUAAUGUAUCGGAACGUGCCAAGUCGCGGGGGAGAACUACGCGUAAGCGAAGCGAAGGCCGCAUCCUAUUGGAACGGCCGAUAUCGGAUUAGCAAGUUGGUGGGGUAACGGCUCACCAAGGCGACGUUCCGUAGCUGGUUUGAGAGGACGACCAGCCACACGGGGACUGAGACACGGCCCAGACUCCUACGGUAGGCAGCAGUGGGGAAUUUUGGACAAUGGGGGAAACCCUGAUCCAGCCAUCCCGCGUGUGCGAUGAAGGCCUUCGGGUUGUAAAGCACUUUUGGCAGGAAAGCGGUACCUGCAGAAUAAGCACCGGCUAACUCCGUGCCAGCAGCCGCGGUAAUUC